AGGUGAGUUGCCAAGGUAGCUAAAUGUAUAUCAUCCUUUUAAUUAUUGUAUUAAUCUCAUCACACUCACACAUCCUCUGUUCUUUUUUAGGUCGAGGAGUGUUUAGUUGCCGCCACUUUCAGAAAGGAGACUUUCUCAUAGAAUAUCGAGGGGAAGUCUUAAGCAAAAAGGAGUAUGAGUACCGACUAAGCCUGUACCAUGAUGCUCUGAUGGUUGAAUUAUACUACAAUGGGGAAAAAACUAUGUGUGGAUGCAGCAAAAGAGGAUGACUCCUUUGGCAGACUUGUCAAUGAUGACAAUAUAGACCCAAACUGUUGAAGGAAAGCCUCAUCUGUGUUUGUUUGCCAUCAAGGACAUCAGGCCAGGGGAGGAGAUCACAUACAACUAUGGAGACUCAGACUGGCCGUGGAGAUCAAAGAUUUCAACGGAGACAGAGGAUCACCAUGCCGUCGUGAUAUGUGACAGCCUCAAAGAUGUUGAACAGAUAUCAACUGAGGCAGAGGGUCACCAUGUGGUUGUGGCAUCUGACAGCCUCAAAGAUGUUGAAAAGAUUUCAACUGAUGUAGAGGAUCACCAUGCUGCCGUGGUAUCGGACAGACUCAAAGAUUUUGAACAGGU